GAUGAACGCUAGCGGCAGGCUUAACACAUGCAAGUCGAGGGGUAGAGGAAGCUUGCUUCCUUGAGACCGGCGCACGGGUGCGUAACGCGUAUGCAACCUACCUUUUACAGAGGGAUAGCCCAGAGAAAUUUGGAUUAAUACCUCAUGGUAUAUAUCAUUCGCAUGUUUGAUAUAUUAAAGUUCCAACGGUAAAAGAUGGGCAUGCGUCCUAUUAGCUGGAUGGUAAGGUAACGGCUUACCAUGGCAACGAUAGGUAGGGGUCCUGAGAGGGAGAUCCCCCACACUGGUACUGAGACACGGACCAGACUCCUACGGGAGGCAGCAGUGAGGAAUAUUGGACAAUGGGCGCAAGCCUGAUCCAGCCAUGCCGCGUGCAGGAAGAAGGCCUUCGGGUUGUAAACUGCUUUUGUCAGGGAAGAAAUCCUCUAGGUUAAUACCCUUGGGGGAUGACGGUACCUGAAGAAUAAGCACCGGCUAACUACGUGCCAGCAGCCG
rnacentral:rRNA from 1 species